UCCACGAGAUCUUCAACUUCCACCUCUGGCAAACUUUGACAGCAUUCCAUGGGAGGCUCCCAUUCUACUUUUUUUUUUUUAAUUUAUUUUUUUGUAUUUUCAGUGAAAGAAAUCAAACACAUCUCAACAUACAACCAUCAACAAAGGAAGCAUACCAUCCAUUGCAAAUCAAAGUUUUGAGUCCUGAACUAUAUUCUUAAAGAAAGUCCAUCCGAAGAGGUUUCACGUACUCAGUCCACUUGGUCCAGAUUUCAUAGAAUCUGUCUUUUUGCAUCCUGAGGGAGAAAUACAACUUUUCCAUGACAUAUAUAUCGUGUAAUAUGUUUAUCCAGUCUUCAAAGGUACAUCACCCAGGGUCUCAAAGCUUGAAAAAAAACCCUUUGCGGAUGAAAGAGAAAUAGGUUGUUAAUCCUUUUGGUAUCCAUCUUUUAAAACCAUCGUCCUGUGUAUUGGGUGCAAACUAUCCAACGAUCCAAGAUGGCGCCGCGAAUGGAUGCCCUGGUACUUCGGUGCGCUCUGUUUUGUUUGUUUUUGUGCGUUAUUUCUGUGU